rnacentral:rRNA from 1 species
AGUCGAGCGGCAGCACGGGUACUUGUACCUGGUGGCGANNNGCGGACGGGUGAGUAAUGCCUAGGAAUCUGCCUGGUAGUGGGGGAUAACGCUCGGAAACGGACGCUAAUACCGCAUACGUCCUACGGGAGAAAGCAGGGGACCUUCGGGCCUUGCGCUAUCAGAUGAGCCUAGGUCGGAUUAGCUAGUUGGUGAGGUAAUGGCUCACCAAGGCGACGAUCCGUAACUGGUCUGAGAGGAUGAUCAGUCACACUGGAACUGAGACACGGUCCAGACUCCUACGGGAGGCAGCAGUGGGGAAUAUUGGACAAUGGGCGAAAGCCUGAUCCAGCCAUGCCGCGUGUGUGAAGAAGGUCUUCGGAUUGUAAAGCACUUUAAGUUGGGAGGAAGGGCAGUUACCUAAUACGUGAUUGUUUUGACGUUACCGACAGAAUAAGCACCGGCUAACUCUGUGCCAGCAG